rnacentral:lncRNA from 1 species
CAAUAUGGUGGAGGGGUAAAGGAAAGAGAGGUCAUCAUAAUAUCAUAGAAUUUCAAGAUCAGAGUUAUUAUUCCAUGGGUUAAUUAUCAGGAUCACAUCUAGUUCAUCAAAUAGAAAGCUGCCAUAAUCUGUAAGGUGAAGUGAAUUUGCAUUUCUACUUACUUACCAAAGCCUUGUCCUAUUUAUACAUA